rnacentral:rRNA from 1 species
AACACAUGCAAGUCGAGGGGCAGCAUUCCAGUUUGCUUGCAAACUGGAGAUGGCGACCGGCGCACGGGUGAGUAACACGUAUCCAACCUGCCGAUAACUCGGGGAUAGCCUUUCGAAAGAAAGAUUAAUACCCGAUGGCAUAAUAGAACCGCAUGGUUUGAUUAUUAAAGAAUUUCGGUUAUCGAUGGGGAUGCGUUCCAUUAGGCAGUUGGUGGGGUAACGGCCCACCAAACCUUCGAUGGAUAGGGGUUCUGAGAGGAAGGUCCCCCACAUUGGAACUGAGACACGGUCCAAACUCCUACGGGAGGCAGCAGUGAGGAAUAUUGGUCAAUGGGCGAGAGCCUGAACCAGCCAAGUAGCGUGAAGGAUGACUGCCCUAUGGGUUGUAAACUUCUUUUAUAAAGGAAUAAAGUCGGGUAUGGAUACCCGUUUGCAUGUACUUUAUGAAUAAGGAUCGGCUAACUCCGUGCCAGCAGCCGCGGUAAUACGGAGGAUCCGAGCGUUAUCCGGAUUUAUUGGGUUUAAAGGGAGCGUAGAUGGAUGUUUAAGUCAGUUGUGAAAGUUUGCGGCUCAACCGUAAAAUUGCAGUUGAUACUGGAUAUCUUGAGUGCAGUUGAGGCAGGCGGAAUUCGUGGUGUAGCGGUGAAAUGCUUAGAUAUCACGAAGAACUCCGAUUGCGAAGGCAGCCUGCUAAGCUGCAACUGACA